UAAAUACUCCCUCCGUCCGAAAAUACUUGUCAUCAAAAUGGAUAAAAAGAGAUGUAUCUAAAUGUUUUAGAUACAUCUCUUUUUAUCCAUUUUGAUGACAAGUAUUUCCGGACGGAGGGAGUAUUUG
rnacentral:pre_miRNA from 1 species